rnacentral:misc_RNA from 1 species
UCCGGUUUGACACCGGCAGUCUCGCUAGAGUACUGGCUUGCGCCGAGCAACUAACGACAGGGGUUGCGCUCGUUAAGGGACUUAACCCGACACUUCACAGCACGAGCUGACGACAGCCAUGCAGCACCUGUGAUCGUUCCACCCUUGCGGGUGUCACUCCUGUUUCCAGGAGCUAAUCCGACCAUGUCAAACCCAGGUAAGGUUCUUCGCGUUGCAUCGAAUUAAGCAACAUGCUCCACCGCUUGUGUGAGCCCCCGUCAAUUCCUUUGAGUUUUAGCCUUGCGACCGUACUCCCCAGGCGGCGCACUUAUCGUUUUUACUCCGACCGAUCCGGGGUCAAACCCGCACCGAUCUAGUGCGCAUCGUUUACGGCGUGGACUAC